CCUACGGGUGGCAGCAGUGGGGAAUAUUGCACAAUGGGCGGAACCCUGAUGCAGCGACGCCGCGUGAGUGAAGAAGUCAUUCGUGUUGUAAAGCUCUAUCAGCAGGGAAGAAAAUGACGGUUCCUGACUAAGAAGCCCCGGCUAACUACGUGCCAGCAGCCGCGGGAAUACGUAGGGGGCACGCGUUAUCCGGAUUUACUGGGGGGAAAGUGAGCGUAGACGGCAGGGCAAGUCCGAGGUGAAAGCCCGGUGCCCAACCCCGGGACUGCUUUGGAAACUGGGAAGCUGGAGUGCGGGAGGGGAUGGCGGAAUUCCUGGUGUAGCGGUGAAAUGCGUAGAUAUCAGGAGGAACACCGGCGGCGAAGGCGGCCGGCUGGACCGUAACUGACGUUGAGGCUCGAAAGCGUGGGGAGCAAACAGGAUUAGAUACCCUGGUAGUC
rnacentral:rRNA from 1 species